GAUCGAUUUCGGACACGAAGAUUGAGAAGUGCCUGGAUACAAGGCUAGUAUUGUUAACAUCAUCUGAUACAAUCAACUGGAACAAAGCUGAAAUGGCUGCCUGACCUGACUUAAAAAUUGGAUGGCAGUACAUCAGACUAGAAGAUUACAAGUAUUGAGGUGGACAAAAUGAAACCUGAGCCUACCAAAGCUGACAGAUUGCACAAGAAACACAUAAAUGCAGAUUGGAAGAUUCAUUCUCUGGAAAGUAGAAAAGGGCAUGUUACAUACUGUUAUCACUGCCAUGACAGAAACCAUAUUGAGGAGCUGGUCCACCUGUAGGAAGAAUUGCGCUAUUGGUUGG